rnacentral:rRNA from 1 species
GUGGGGAAUAUUGGACAAUGGGGGAAACCCUGAUCCAGCCAUGCCGCGUGAGUGAUGAAGGCCUUCGGGUUGUAAAGCUCUUUCGCGCGCGACGAUGAUGACGGUAGCGCGAGAAGAAGCCCCGGCUAACUUCGUGCCAGCAGCCGCGGUAAUACGAAGGGGGCAAGCGUUGUUCGGAAUUACUGGGCGUAAAGGGCGCGUAGGCGGUGCGCUAAGUCAGAUGUGAAAGCCCUGGGCUCAACCCGGGAAUUGCAUUUGAUACUGGCGCGCUCGAAUCCGGGAGAGGUUGGUGGAAUUCCCAGUGUAGAGGUGAAAUUCGUAGAGAUUGGGAAGAACACCGGUGGCGAAGGCGGCCAACUGGACCGGUAUUGACGCUGAGGCGCGAAAGCGUGGGGAGCAAACAGGAUUAGAAACCCCGGUAGUCC